UCUUACACAAGUUAUGCAAAUAUUCAAAGUCAAUGAACCAUGACUGAGUUACAUGGCUAAACAAUCUCCAUGUAAAUGAGAUGUGCCAAUGCUAAUACAAAUGCAUACCAAAUACCAUUGACUUAUUAUAAGUCGUUCCCAAACCUAAACACAAACAUUAACUUGUAAACUAUGUAAAAGUUUCAAAGUCAAUGGACCAUGAAGAGGGGGUGGGGCUAUAUCAUCUCCAUGGAAACGAUACUUGCAAAUGCCAAUAAAU
rnacentral:lncRNA from 1 species